ACGCUGGCGGCGUGCCUAAUACAUGCAAGUCGAACGUCUUUUCAUGGAAGCUUGCUUCCACUGAGAAGAUAGUGGCGAACGGGUGAGUAACACGUGGGUAACCUGCCCAUAAGAGGGGGAUAACAUCCGGAAACGGGUGCUAAUACCGCAUAGUUUUCUUGAUCGCAUGAUUGAGAAAGGAAAGACGGCCUUUGUGCUGUCGCUUAUGGAUGGACCCGCGGCGUAUUAGUUAGUUGGUGAGGUAACGGCUCACCAAGACGAUGAUACGUAGCCGACCUGAGAGGGUGAUCGGCCACAUUGGGACUGAGACACGGCCCAAACUCCUACGGGAGGCAGCAGUAGGGAAUCUUCCGCAAUGGACGAAAGUCUGACGGAGCAACGCCGCGUGAGUGAAGAAAGGUUUUCGGAUCGUAAAACUCUGUUGCCAGAGAAGAACAAGUUGGAGAGUAACUGCUCCAGCCUUGACGGUAUCUGACCAGAAAGCCACGGCUAACUACGUGCCAGCCGCGGC
rnacentral:rRNA from 1 species